GCGUGAGUAGCUCAUCGGCAGAGUGCCCUGACGAACGUCGGGGAGGUAGCGGGUUCAAUUCCCGUCUCGCGCU
rnacentral:tRNA from 1 species